rnacentral:misc_RNA from 1 species
GUUGCAAUGCAUUUCAUCUCAACCAAACUCCAAGAUCCGGAAAUUGCUUUUAAGCUUGAUUCAGGGGAAGAUUCAGACAACAUUCAGCUGACAGUUGGGGUUAUCAUGAAGGAAAUUGUUUGUCAUCUCCAACUUGUUGACUCCAAAAGAAAGCAGAUAGGUGUUCUUUCUGUUUUCCGGAAGGAGCUAAAGGAAUAUAUGAAUACUGUUUUAAGUGCUGUUACGAAACGACUUACACCCUCUGUAUACUUCAAAGCAAUUGUUCAGUUGCUGGGUCAUGUAGAUAAAUGUGUGAGAAGAAAGGCUCUUGGAACUUUGUCUGAGACAGUGAAGGAUACUGGGUUUGUU